AUGACCCUUUAGCACAUCCAAUAAAAUUAGAACGAUACAGAGAAGACUAAUAUGGUCCCGCGCUAGGAUGACAAAUAUAAAUCGAGAAAUGAUACUAAUUUUU
rnacentral:snRNA from 2 species